GCCAUCUUAGAAAGGAGGCCAUCGAAGAAGAUUAACGCUACAUACGCCACCAUUUUGUGGACAUUUCUACUUGUGCAGUACCAGCGAAACGUUGUGUGUUACAAGACUACGAAAUACUCCGAACCAACAUAUAUAUUUAAAGACAAUGUCGCGUUAUCGUGAAUGGGAUCCUUCAUGUAAAGUUUACGUUGGUAAUUUAGGGAACAGUGCUAGUAAACAUGAAAUUGAAAGUGCAUUCAGUAAAUAUGGCCCACUCAGAAAUGUGUGGGUUGCAAGAAAACCACCUGGUUUUGCAUUUGUGGAAUUUGAAGACCCACGAGAUGCGGAAGAUGCAGUUAGAGGAUUAGAUGGAACACGCUGUUGUGGGACCAGAGUGAGAGUAGAAAUGUCCUCGGGAAGAAGUAGACGUGGAGGUGGAAGGAGAUCAGGUCCAAGAUAUUCCAGGUCCAGAUCUUGCAGUCCUCGAAGGAGAUCACUGGGUCGUUAUCCAAGGUCCUGGUCAAGAAGCCCACGCAGAUCGCCGAUAAGCCGAUAUUCUAGAUUCUACCAGCGUCAGCUCCUAGCUCUGCUCGUCUCCCCGCCACUACUACUACUACUGCUACUACUACUACUACAGCCACCGUGAAAAAAAGUCUAGCAAUCAAAACUGAACAAAAAAAAAGCCUGCCUGCCCACUAACUUCCCAACCAGUCACCAUCAGUCACCACCAGUCACCGGUCAAGAUCCCGUAGUCCUCGCAGGAGAUCACUGAGCCGUAGCCGUAGCCGAGAUCGCCGUUCUCGUUCGGAUUCCCGUGACAGACGUUAGGUGCUAAAAGUGUUUGAGAGAACGGAUCGACUAAAUGUGCCGGAUGGAAGAUAAAGAAAACCGAUUUUAUAUGUACAUAAAAAAGAUAAUCGUUUCCACGCGUACAUAUUCUGUCGAAGCAAUGAUAAUACGAGUAAAAGACCAUUCAUAAGAGAUAUGGAAUAAUACACGUACAUAAUAUCUAGCAUUUAAGUUGUUAACACUUUAUACACCAAGAAAACGUUGCUUAUAUGCGUAAAACUUAAUUAGACACAUGUACCCAGGCGUGUGUAGUUGGUUUUACAUGCACGACACAUUUUCACAGACGCAUACACAUUAUACAAAGGUAUUUUACACACAACAAAAUUAUUUGUGAUGUAAGCUAUCGAGUACGAUAAAUCUCUUACGGAACGUGCUCAUUGCUUCAAAGUGUACGGGUGAGACAAAAAGAAUUCGGUUGCAAUUAAGAACAAUUAUAACGAUAAGCAUAACGAUAACAGUGAGACGUUUUUCAUGCGAAGGAGUUCAUGAAGAAAUAGAAGGAACGGCCGUUUUACGUUGUAUUAAUUAUUUUGUACUCUUACGAAUUUAAGACUUUAAAAUAAAAAUGUAUGGCAUAA